rnacentral:rRNA from 1 species
UACGUAGGUGGCAAGCGUUGUCCGGAUUUAUUGGGUUUAAAGGGUGCGUAGGUGGCUUUGUAAGUCAGUGGUGAAAUAUGGCAGCUUAACUGUCAAGGUGCCAUUGAUACUGCGGAGCUUGAGUACAGAUGAGGUAGGCGGAAUUGACGGUGUAGCGGUGAAAUGCUUAGAUAUCGUCAAGAACACCUAUAGCGAAGGCAGCUUACUAGGCUGUAACUGACGCUGAGGCACGAAAGUGUGGGGAUCAAACAGG